rnacentral:lncRNA from 1 species
AUGGGAAUGAAUGAGAUGUUUCUGGCUUUCACAUCGUCUCAACAACACUGUUUUUGUCCUGAUAGGUCCAUGAAAACGACUGGACGCCAGCAAAGAAAAGGACGGGAAGCGCAGACUGAACACUUUACCACUGGUUCUGGCCACGAACACUGGGACCAACAAUUUCUCCAAACAGGGUGGAUGCACACUGAGAUAAAGACCAAGCCACUUCACAUAGAGGCAGACAAACGUACGAAAGGAGCAGAGACAGAAGGCAAAGUAAGGUUGAUCUCUCGUCAUGCAUUUGACCCUCUGCUCCUCGUGUUACUUCUGCCUGCUUUCACUUCUUGUGACGCCUUCAUUUGUGAGGACAGGAACCGAGGACAUUUUCUGAAGCCAAUUACAGGAAGUGUUGAGCAGAACUUAGCAUUAACAACAUGAGCACAAGAAAAUCCACCAGUCUGGGAUUUCAAAGGAAACGGUCAAACGUGAACGCUUGGUCGCUUGGCUCUCGCUUUGAUCCGACUAAUGGACCAACAUCAACAUCCACAUGAGCAAAAGUGAGCCAGACAUCUCUCAUUAUUUAUAGAUACUUUAUGUAAGUAUAAUCACUGAACACAGGCGUUGAGGCCUGAGUUCACCUCAGUAAACGCAAACGUCUUCCAGUGUGCAUCCGGCCUUCAGAGGGAGACAACAUUCAAGGCGUAGAAUAUAUCUAAAAAGGAAGUACUGUACAAUAGUCACGUCACAGCCCGACAGACAGAGCAGGAAAAAUGCACUUUUUUAACAUCUGUUUUUGUUUUUUUUAAACACAUUAGAUCUUUUUUUCUGUACAGGCAGAGUCCCAGUCGCACCCAAUGAAAACCACCGCUGCGUCGGUCCUAUUUCCUCGUGUGUAAAGCGCGUCGUCACAGGCACACGGCUCAAACGCACAAGCAUGCGCUCGCUCCUAUUCACAAUCACGUGCACAGCGCCCGCAGCUCGUGCCCAUUGCCUCGUGUGACCAGCGUCAGGCAGCGUCAG